UAGAGUUUGAUCAUGGCUCAGGAUGAACGCUAGCGGCAGGCUUAACACAUGCAAGUCGAGGGGCAUCGGGAGGGAAGCUUGCUUUCCUUGCCGGCGACCGGCGCACGGGUGAGUAACACGUAUGCAACCUGCCCUCUUCAGGGGGACAACCUUCCGAAAGGGAGGCUAAUCCCGCGUAUAUCGGUUUCGGGCAUCCGAGAUCGAGGAAAGAUUCAUCGGAAGAGGAUGGGCAUGCGGCGCAUUAGCUUGACGGCGGGGUAACGGCCCACCGUGGCGACGAUGCGUAGGGGUUCUGAGAGGAAGGUCCCCCACACUGGUACUGAGACACGGACCAGACUCCUACGGGAGGCAGCAGUGAGGAAUAUUGGUCAAUGGGAGAGAUCCUGAACCAGCCAAGCCGCGUGAGGGAAGACGGCCCUAUGGGUUGUAAACCUCUUUUGUCGGAGAACAAAACCCGGGACGUGUCCCGGACUGCGUGUAUCCGAAGAAAAAGCAUCGGCUAACUCCGUGCCAGCAGCCGCGGUAAUACGGAGGAUGCGAGCGUUAUCCGGAUUUAUUGGGUUUAAAGGGUGCGUAGGCGGUCCGUUAAGUCAGCGGUAAAAUUGCGGGGCUCAACCCCGUCGAGCCGUUGAAACUGGCAGACUUGAGUUGGCGAGAAGUACGCGGAAUGCGCGGUGUAGCGGUGAAAUGCAUAGAUAUCGCGCAGAACUCCGAUUGCGAAGGCAGCGUACCGGCGCCAGACUGACGCUGAGGCACGAAAGCGUGGGGAUCGAACAGGAUUAGAUACCCUGGUAG
rnacentral:rRNA from 1 species